rnacentral:rRNA from 1 species
AUUGAACGCUGGCGGCAGGCCUAACACAUGCAAGUCGAGCGAGUGGCGGACGGGUGAGUAAUGUCUGGGAAACUGCCUGAUGGAGGGGGUUAACUACUGGAAACGGUAGCUAAUACCGCAUACCAUCUGAUGUGCCCAGAUGGGAUUAGCUAGUAGGUAGGGUAAAGGCUCACAUAGGCGACGAUCCCUCGCUGGUCUGAGCGGAUGACAAGCCAACAUGGAAAUGAGACACCGUCCAGACUGCUAUGGGAGGCAGCAGUGGGGAAUAUUGCACAAUGGGCGCAAGCCUGAUGCAGCCAUGCCGCGUGUAUGAAGAAGGCCUUCGGGUUGUAAAGUACUUUCAGCGAGGAGGCGUUACUCGCAGAAGAAGCACCGGCUAACUCCGUGCCAGCAGCCGCGGUAAUAC